rnacentral:tRNA from 1 species
CGGGAUGUGGCGCAGUCCGGUAGCGUACUUGCAUGGGGUGCAAGGGGUCGUGGGUUCAAAUCCCGCCAUCCCGA